GAUGAACGCUGGCGGCGUGCUUAACACAUGCAAGUCGAACGGAGAUGCCUUUGACAGAGACUUCGGUUGAAGUCGCUGGUAUCUUAGUGGCGGACGGGUGAGUAACGCGUGGGUAACCUGCCUUAUACCGGGGGAUAACAGCCAGAAAUGGCUGCUAAUACCGCAUAAGCGCACAGUGCCGCAUGGCACGGUGUGAAAAACUCCGGUGGUAUAAGAUGGACCCGCGUUGGAUUAGCUAGUUGGCAGGGCAGCGGCCUACCAAGGCGACGAUCAAUAGCCGACCUGAGAGGGUGACCGGCCACAUUGGGACUGAGGCACGGCCCAAAACUCCUACGGGAGGCAGCAGUGGGGAAUAUUGGGUCAAAUGGGCGCAGGCCUGAACCAGCCAAGUCGCGUGAGGGAAGACGGUCCUACGGAUUGUAAACCUCUUUUUGUCGGGGAGUAACGUGCGGGACGCGUCCCGUAUUGAGAGUACCCGAAGAAAAGCAUCGGCUAACUCCGUAGCCAGCAGCCG
rnacentral:rRNA from 1 species